rnacentral:lncRNA from 1 species
UCAUCGGCUAAAGUCUAUAAAUUCACGAAAAUGUUCAUAUCUCCCUCUAUAUUACGUAGUUUGGUCAAACCUUCUACAAGAAAAACUUUCAAGUAGAUGAGACGCAACCGCCUAUAUAAAAAUUUUGAGACAUUUACCUUCCGACGAUAGGGCUCCCCAUAGGGAAUAAUAACUGUAAAUAUGGUUGACCGCUACUAUCGACACCGAGACGUUACCCGAUUUACGUGAUUUUUGAACCAUAGCCGCAUUUCACCAUUCUGAACACAUCUUAUUUCACGAGAUUUUUGAUAAUUUUGCUUCCUAUGUAGAGUUGGUUCAUAAAGUUAUAUAACCUACUAAACAAGUUAUACAACAUUAGUAGACAUGUUGUGAUUCCGAUGACUAAAAUUCACAAACCAAAAUUUGACCGUCAGAUAUGAUCAUUAUGACGAAAUAUGUCUAUGGUAAAAAAUUCAACUGGAUCCGACAACGUUAAGGGCUCGAUCGAAACGGUCAACCCUAAUCCAUCGUCACUUAUCACACGAAAACGCUCAUAUCUCCCUCUAUAUUAAGUAGUUUGGUCAAACCUUCCACACGAAAAACUCUCACAUAAAUGAGAUGCAACUGCCCAUAUAAAAAUUUUGAGACAUUUAGCUUCCGACGAUAGGGCUCCUCAUAGGGAAUAAUAACGGUAAAUAGUAGACACGUUAUGAUUCCGAUGACUAAAAUUCACAAACCAAAAUUCGACUGUCAGAUAUGAUCAUUAUGACCAAAGAUGUCUAUGGUAAAAAAUUCAACUGAAUUCGACAACGUUAAGGGCUCGAUCGAAACGGUCAACUCUAAUCGGAAAUAAGAAAACUGCAUUUUGAAGCCCUAAACGGACUCGGAUGGCCAAAAAAGCCCAUAUGUCAUAGCAAAGCAAUGAGUUUGACUCGUAGGGCCGUUACGCUUCCGAAAAUGUAUCACAAUAGUCAAUCGGACACCAAACACCAAAUAUGCAGCAUAGUGAAUAAUAAGAGUAAAUUGCAUUGACCGCAACUAUCGGCACCGAAAUUUACCGAAAU